ensembl:lncRNA
UGUCGAAUGAGCUGCAGCCAUGCAUCUAAACAUUCUAUUACUGUUAUAACGUCAUGCAUUGGAACACAGAAAGUGUAGUCUUUAGUUCUUGUGUGUGACCAGGACAAAGGAAUUCUUCCCAUGAAGGUGAGUUCGAUAACCCAACUGUUUCUUACAAUCUAAAAUAAAUAUUCUUUCAUUAUAAAAUCAGAUGUUUCAUUUGAUUACAACCUACAAUCACUGUAUUUCUGAUACUGGUCUUCUGUGUUUUGUGUAUUCUUGACCCUUUUCAUGUACUGUUUGAGCCCCUACUAUGGCAAAUGGGGGGUCAUGUGAAAACAUUAAAUGAAAAAAGUAAGUUUAAUAACCCAAAUGUUUCUUACAAUAUAAAAUCAGAAAGUUUUGUUUGAAUAAAAUCACUGUAUUUCUGAUACUGGUCUUCCAUUUUUUUUCUCUUUUUUUUCUAUGCAUGACUAUCUUCUACAUGCCACUGUUUGAGCUCCUACUAUGGUAAAUGUGGGUCAUGUGACAACAUUAAAUUAACAAGGUAAGGUCAAUAACCCAAAUGUUUCUUACAAUAUUCAGUCUGAAUGCCUUUUAUUUGAAUACACCACAAAAUCACUGUAUUUCUGAAACUGUUCUUCUAUGUUUCUUUCUAUGCUUGACUUCCUUCAUUCACAUGUGACUGUUUGAGCCUAUACUGUGCUAAAUAUGGGCAAUGUGACAACAGUAUAUUAACAAGGUAAGUUUAAUAACCCAAAUGUUUCUAAAGUUUUUCAGUUGGUUACACCAUAAAAUCAGUGUAUAUCUAAUACUGGUACUCUGUGUUUUUCCUGUUUCUAUGCUUGACUCUCUUCAUCUACAUGUCACUGUUUGAGCCCCUGCUAUAGUAAAUGUGGGUCAUGUGUCAACAUUAACAAGGUAAUGCCAAUAACCAAAAAGUUUCUUUUAAUAUAGAACCAGAUGCUUCAUUCGAAUACACCAUAAAAUCACUGUAUUUCUGAUACUGGUCAUGUAUGUUUUUUUCUAUGCUUUACUCUCUUCAUCUACAUGCAACUGUCUGAGUCCCUACUGCCAACAGGGCAACUUCAUCGAGAAGGUAGACAUGACACCUUCCACAAACUUCAUUAACUUCCAUCCAUCCAGUCUGCUGAGAUUGCUACUUUGUUGCAUCGCUAUCUUCAAGAAACAGCUGAAGACACACACCUCUUCAUCAAGCAUUUACUUUCAGGAAUCCACAAUCAUAAUUAAAAGCACUUUGUAUAAAUUGUAUUUACAGAAGGUGCUGGAACCCUAUUGUAUUUGUACACUUUUGCCAAUUAUUCUUUUUUCUACCCUAAAGAUCCCAAGAGCCUUAUGAGGAAAGAUUUAAGCCAAUUAAAUUGUCUGGAACUGGCAAUUUUGACUAAUCUGCUCAAUGCAACGUCCAUCCUUAAUGAAACUUGAUACACUUUGACAAAAUGAAAUUAUGGCUGCACAAGAAGUUGUGUCAAAAUGAGUGCAUGUGGGGC